CAACCCUCGCGCCCAGCGCGGUGUUGGGGCCCUGCGGCUGCCGCAGGCCCUGAAAUUCAGUGGCGGGCUCGCCAGGACUCCCAGCGCAGUAGCUUAACCUCGCUGUGGAUUACUGGUUGGUUCCAGCCGUGAAACACUUCUUUUACAAGG
rnacentral:misc_RNA from 1 species